UCCCUGAUGGUCUAGUGGCUAGGAUUCGGGCUCUACACGCCGCGCCCGGGUUCGAUUCCCGGUCAGGGAA
rnacentral:tRNA from 1 species